rnacentral:lncRNA from 1 species
AGACCCCGCAGCUGGACUGUUCUCUGCUGCCUCUCGCUUACUGUGGCGUCCCAUUGCUGUUUUGAUCAGCAAUCCUGUAUUCUAUGCAGACUUACUUCUCUGCCACUGCUCUGAGACAGCAAGAUUCUAAAGGCAUCAAGACUCCAAGAUGCCCCAAAGUUCCUUUUGUGGAAAGCUAAACAUUUCUCUCAUGUGCUGGCCCGGUAUUAUGAUUUUUUUCUGAAACAGUCACUUCCUGUCACAAGGAUAAGUCGACUGUUCCCAAGGCAUCCCAGAGAAGCCUGAAGUAGAGUUGUUGGUGCAUGCUGAAGUGAGACCACAAAGAAAUCUGACUAGGAACACAGCAUUCUUUGAGCCAGCCUUGCAAAGGCUGCCUGCAGUGAGGCUGGCCCCACCUGAGUCAUCUCUGAGUGGGAAGGACUGGAGCCAGCUGUCUCUUCAGGCUGGCGGGGUUUGUAUUUCUCUGCCAAAGUCACACUUCAAGCAAGUGAAACAGUCCUGAGUUGUUAGCUGGGGUCAGAGUCACAGCGCCACUCAAUAGACUUCCCUCUCCCCAGCUGUCCUCCUCUGUCCUCCGCUUCCCAGGCUUCACAGGGGCCGAGGCCCUUAGGGAAGGCACAUUGCAUUCUGACUGUGUGCAAGAAGAGUCUAUGUUCUGACACGAUCGCCUCCCAGAACUGCAAUUCUAUUCAUUCUAUUAAAAAAAAAAAUUCCACC